rnacentral:rRNA from 1 species
GAUGAACGCUGGCGGCGUGCUUAACACAUGCAAGUCGAACGGAAAGGCACAAGCUUGUUUGGGUACUCGAGUGGCGAACGGGUGAGUAACACGUGGGUGAUCUGCUCUGCACUUCGGGAUAAGCCUGGGAAACUGGGUCUAAUAUCGGAUAGGACGAUGGUUUGGAUGCCAUUGUGGAAAGUUUCUUCGGUGGGGGAUGAGGUCGAGGCCUAUCAGCUUGUUGAAGGGGUAGUGGCCUACCUAGACGUAGACGGUUAGCCGGCCUGAGAGGGUGUAGGGCCACAUUGGACCUGUGAUACAGGCCUGACUCCUGCAGGUGGCAGCAGUGGCGAAUGUUGCACAAUGGGCUCAAGCCUGAGUCAGCAACGCCGCGUGGUUGAUGACGGCCUUCGUGUUGUAAGCUCCUUUCGCUAGGGACGAAGCGUUUUUGUGACGGUACCUGAAGAAGAAGCACCGGCUAACUACGUG